AUUGAACGCUGGCGGCAGGCCUAACACAUGCAAGUCGAACGAGUGGCGGACGGGUGAGUAAUGUCUGGGAAACUGCCUGAUGGAGGGGGAUAACUACUGGAAACGGUAGCUAAUACCGCAUACCAUCGGAUGUGCCCAGAUUGGAUUAGCUAGGAGGUGGGGAAACGGCUCACCUAGGCGAAGAUCCCUAGCUGGUCUGAGAGGAUGACCGGCAACACUGGAACUGAGACACGGUCCAGACGCCUACGUGAGGCAGCAGUGGGGAAUAUUGGAAAAUGGGCGCAAGCCUGAUGCAGCCAAGCCGCGUGAAUGAAGAAGGCCUUCGGGUUGUAAAGUACUUUCAGCGGGGAGGCGUUACCCGCAGAAGAAGCACCGGCUAACUCCGUGCCAGCAGCCGCGGUAAUAC
rnacentral:rRNA from 1 species